rnacentral:rRNA from 1 species
AUCGACGGGUAGCUGGUCUGAGAGGACGAUCAGCCACACUGGGACUGAGACACGGCCCAGACUCCUACGGGAGGCAGCAGUGGGGAAUCUUGCGCAAUGGGCGAAAGCCUGACGCAGCGAUGCCGCGUGGGGGAUGAAGGCUCUCGGGUCGUAAACCCCUUUCAGCAGGGACGAAAAUGACGGUACCUGCAGAAGAAGCCCCGGCCAACUACGUGCCAGCAGCCGCGGUAACACGUAGGGGGCGAGCGUUGUCCGGAUUUAUUGGGCGUAAAGAGCUCGUAGGCUGUUCAGUAAGUCAGGUGUGAAAACCCAAGGCUCAACCUUGGGACGCCACUUGAUACUGCUGUGACUAGAGUCCGGUAGAGGAGAUUGGAAUUCCUGGUGUAGCGGUGAAAUGCGCGGAUAUCAGGAGGAACACCAACGGCGAAGGCAGAUCUCUGGGCCGGUACUGACGCUGAGGAGCGAAAGCGUGGGGAGCGAACAGGAUUAGAUACCCUGGUAGUCCACGCCGUAAACGUUGGGCACUAGGUGUGGG